rnacentral:rRNA from 1 species
GUCGGGUAAGUUCCGACCUGCACGAAUGGCGUAAUGAUGGGGGCGCUGUCUCCACCCGAGACUCAGUGAAAUCGAAAUCGCAGUGAAGAUGCUGUGUACCCGCGGCUAGACGGAAAGACCCCGUGAACCUUUACUAUAGCUUCACAGUGAACUUUGAGCAUGUUUGUGUAGGAUAGCUGGGAGGCUUUGAAACCAGGACGCCAGUUCUGGUGGAGCCAACCUUGAAAUACCAGCCUGACCUGUUUGAGGUUCUAACUUCGACCCCUUAUCGGGGUUAAGGACACUGUGUGGUGGGUAGUUUGACUGGGGCGGUCUCCUCCCAAAGCGUAACGGAGGAGCACAAAGGUGGGCUAAGCAUGGUCGGACAUCAUGCGGUUAGUGUAAUGGCACAAGCCCGCUUAACUGCGAGACAGACACGUCGAGCAGGUACGAAAGUAGGUCAUAGUGAUCCGGUGGUUCUGUAUGGAAGGGCCAUCGCUCAACGGAUAAAAGGUACUCCGGGGAUAACAGGCUGAUACCGCCCAAGAGUUCACAUCGACGGCGGUGUUUGGCACCUCGAUGUCGGCUCAUCACAUCCU